AUCAGAGCGUUCGUUGGCAGUUAUCUCCUCUCCUGCCCGCCACACGUUAAGGGCCAGCCCGUGUACCCAUCCUCUUUGUGUCCCCAGUGUUGAGGAGUGAAGAGUACAGAAGAUGGAAAGAACUGGAGUCUCGGCCCUCAAGGUCAGACGGCUUAGCCUGGCAGAGCUCAGCCUGGCAGAGCAGGGCAGAGGCAGCGCCUGCACAGACUCACAGAUGCUUCCUACUUCCUUGCUGUGAGACCCUAGGAGAGUUUGUUCAUGCCUUCUCAUCCUUGGCUUCCUCCCCCUAAAACAGUGAGACGACACCACCUUCCUCACAGGCUUGCUAGAGCCUUAAAUAAAAAUUUUAAAUGUGCUGAA